CGCGUGCGGGAGGAAGGCCUUAGGGUUGUAAACCGCUUUUAUCAGGGAAGAACACAAUGACGGUACCUGAUGAAUAAGCCUCGGCUAAUUCCGUGCCAGCAGCCGCGGUAAUACGGGAGAGGCGAGCGUUAUCCGGAAUUAUUGGGCGUAAAGCGUCCGCAGGUGGCCAAUUAAGUCUGUCGUUAAAUCGUGGAGCUCAACUCCAUACAAGCGAUGGAAACUGAUUGGCUAGAGUACGGUAGGGGUAGCGGGAAUUCCAGGUGUAGCGGUGAAAUGCGUAGAUAUCUGGAAGAACACCAGCGACGAAAGUGCGCUACUGGGCCUGUACUGACACUCAUGGACGAAAGCCAGGGGAGCGAAAGGGAUUAGAUACCCCUGUAGUCCUGGCCGUAAACGAUGAACACUAGGUGUUGCGCGAAUCGACCCGUGCAGUGCCGUAGCCAACGCGUUAAGUGUUCCGCCUGGGGAGUACGCACGCAAGUGUGAAACUCAAAGGAAUUGACGGGGGCCCGCACAAGCGGUGGAGUAUGUGGUUUAAUUCGAUGCAACGCGAAGAACCUUACCAAGGCUUGACAUCCCCCGAAUCUCUGGGAAACUGGAGAGUGCCUUCGGGAGCGGGGAGACAGGUGGUGCAUGGCUGUC
rnacentral:rRNA from 1 species